CCUACGGGAGGCAGCAGUGGGGAAUAUUGCACAAUGGGCGCAAAGCCUGAUGCAGCCAUGCCGCGUGUGUGAAGAAGGCCUUCGGGUUGUAAAGCACUUUCAGCGAGGAGGAAAGCUUAAGCGUUAAUAGCGUUUAAGUGUGACGUGACUCGCAGAAGAAGGACCGGCUAACUUCGUGCCAGCAGCCGCGGUAAU
rnacentral:rRNA from 1 species